ACACGGAUCCGAAAGACCCACCGACUUCAUCGCCUCUCUAAAUAGGACCCUUCCAUGGCUCUGAUUUCGGUAACCGCAGCCGAGGGAGCGAGACAAUGAGCAAGCGAAAGAGAAAGAGAAGCCUCUUGGGUUUACUCUUUGGUUCUUUAGCCUAGACCGUUUGUUUUUGGAUGAAUUACAGGGAAUGUGGAAUUCCUUCGGUUAGAAUUGAACUUUUCAUUUAUCUCUCUAAGAUCUUUGAUCCUUUGCUAGUUUUAUUUAUUUCUCAUGUUUUUGGUGCCGUUUCUCUUGUUGGUUAGUUCAGAUCGUUUUGAAUGUGAAUGAGUUUCGGAGGAUAUCAAGGUAUUUUGAUAAACAUUAAUCUUUUUGUGUUA